rnacentral:rRNA from 1 species
UCAAUAUAGAUUGAUAGUUAGGGUUUAUUUAUUAAUAUGAUUUUUGUCUUGAAUUUUUUAUUAAAAGAAUUUAUAAAUAUUUAUGUUUUAGUAUUUUUUAGAACUAAUAUUUUUAAUAAUAGUUUAUUGGUACUGUGAAGGGUUAUUGAAAUAUUUUGAAAAAUAGUUAUUUAAAAAGAAGAUUUUAUUAAUUGUACCUUGUGUAUCAGGGUGAAUUAAAUUAUUUGAUUUUAUUAUCUGAUCUCGAUUUUAUAAGAGUUAAUAAUUUAUUUAAGUUAAUGUAUCAAAAUUAUUUGCGAUAAAUUAUUAGAAAUGAAAUGUUAUUCGUUUGUGAAGGUAUCUAGUUUUUCUAGAAAUAAAUUUAAUUUAUUAAUUUUUAAGUUUUUAUUUUAUUUUAUAAUUAGAAAUAUUAUUAGUUUAUAUACUUUAGGGGAUAAGCUUUAAAGUAGAUUUUUAAAAUUGUAUGAAUGGCUUGCUGGAAUGUAUGCAUAAAAUUUGUAAUCAUUGAUGAGUUUGUUAUAAAUUAUUUUAUUUUGUAUUUUAUUUAUUUUUUUUUAAUUAUUUAUAGAAAUAUUAUUUUUAAUGUUAUUUUAUAAGUUAUAAUGAUUUAAUUAGUAUAUAGUUGUUGUUUAGGUAUGUUUAAAAGGUAAGUUUGUGUAAAAAAUUCGGCAAAUUUUAUGCCCGCCUGUUUAACAAAAACAUGUCUUUUUGAGUUGUAUUUAAAGUCUGACCUGCCCAAUGAAAUUUAUUUGAAUGGCCGCAGUAUACUAACUGUGCAAAGGUAGCAUAAUCAUUAGUUUUUUAAUUGGAGGCUAGAAUGAAUGGUUGGACGAGGUAUAAGCUGUUUCAUACGAAAUUAUUUUAGAAUUUUAUUUUUUAGUAAAAAAGCUGAAAUAUUAUUAAAAGACGAGAAGACCCUAUAAAUCUUUAUAAUUGUUAUUAUAUUAAUUUUUUUGAUUUGGUUUAUUUUUAUAUUGAGUAAUUAUUUUAUUGGGGUGAUAUUAAAAUUUAAUGAACUUUUAAUUUUUAUAUCCAUUAAUUUAUGAUUUAUUGAUCCGUUAUUAGUGAUUAUAAGACUAAGUUACUUUAGGGAUAACAGCGUAAUUUUUUUGGAGAGUUCUUAUCGAUAAAAAGGAUUGCGACCUCGAUGUUGGAUUAAGGUAUAAUUUUAGGUGUAGUUGCUUAAAUUUUAAGUCUGUUCGACUUUUAAAUUCUUACAUGAUCUGAGUUCAAACCGGUG